rnacentral:lncRNA from 1 species
UCUAACACAAAUUCAUGUGUAGCUAAAUCUGUAAUGUUCAUGUGAACGAAUGUGAACAAAUGACAUAGCAGAAAACAACAGUACGAUAUUUAAACCUGGUUAUAAGCAGAACAUGAACAUCGUAACUGAAAUUGAAGAAAAAACCUGAAACCGUUUGAUGCAAUUCAAAAUCUUAUCAAUAGCAUCUUGACACCAGUCUAAGAUCCGUGGCAAUUUGAGCAUUGCAGCUCCUAGAAGUAUGUCAACAGAGAAAGGGGGAAAGAUUGAAUCCACGGACAAUGACAAACCUGAAAACAUAUGAUUUGAUCACUCCCAAGUUCGAACAUUACCUAGUCUAGUUCAUCGGAUAGAAAAACAUUACCUUGUCUAAGACCUGACUUCUGAU